rnacentral:rRNA from 1 species
UACGGAGGGUGCUAGCGUUGUUCGGAAUUACUGGGCGUAAAGCGCACGUAGGCGGCUUUGCAAGUUAGAGGUGAAAGCCCGGGGCUCAACUCCGGAAUUGCCUUUAAAACUGCAUCGCUAGAAUUGUGGAGAGGUAAGUGGAAUUCCGAGUGUAGAGGUGAAAUUCGUAGAUAUUCGGAAGAACACCAGUGGCGAAGGCGACUUACUGGACAAAUAUUGACGCUGAGGUGCGAAAGCGUGGGGAGCAAACAGG